AUGAGAGGCAUUGAUCCUAAGUUAUCACUAUAAAACGAGUUAAUUGGCUGAUGAGAGGCAUUGACUCUAGGUUAUCACUAUAAAACGAGUUAAUUGGCUGAUGAGAGGCAUUGAUUCUAGAUUAUAACUAUAAAACGAGUUUAUUGGGUGAUGAGAAUCAUUGCUUCCAGGUUAUCACUAUAAAACGUGUUUAUUGGCUGAUGAUAGGAAUUGAUUCUAGGUUAUCACUACAAAACGAGUUUUUGGCUGAUGAGAGGCAUUGAUCCUAUGUUAUCACUAUAAAACGAGUUUAUUGCCUGAUAAGAUGAAUUGAUUCUAGGUUAUCACUAUAAAACGAGUUUAUUGGCUGAUGAGAGGCAUUGAUUCUAGGUUAUCACUAUAAAACGAGUUUAUUGGCUGAUGAGAGGCAUUGACUCUAGGUUAUCACUAUAAAACGAGUUUAUUGGCUGAUGAGAGGCAUUGAUUCUAGAUUAUCACUAUAAAACGAGUUUAUUGGCUGAUAAGAGGCAUUGAUUCUAGGUUAUCACUAUAAAACGAGCUUAUUGGCUGAUGAGAGGUAUUGCUUAUAGUUUAUCACUAUAACACGAUUUUAUUGGCUGAUGAGAGGCAUUGAUUCUAGGGUAUCACUAUAAAACGAGUUUAUUGGCUGAUGAUAGGAAUUGAUUCUAGGUUAUCACUAUAAAACGAGUUUAUUGGCUGAUAAGAGGAAUUGAUUCUAGGUUAUCACUAUAAAACGAGUUUAUUGGCUGGUGAGAGGCAUUGAUUCUAGGUUAUCACUAUAAAACGAGCUUAUUGGCUGAUGAGAGGCAUUGCUUCUAGUUUAUCACUAUAACACGAUUUUAUUGGCUGAUGAGAGGCAUUGAUUCUAGGUUAUCACUAUAAAACGAGUUUAUUGGCUGAUGAGAGGCAUUUAUUCUAGUUUAUCACUAUAAAACGAGUUUAUUGGCUGAUAAGAGGAAUUGAUUCUAGGUUAUCACUAUAAAACGAGUUUAUUGACUGAUGAGAGGCAUUGAUCCUAUGUUAUCACUAUAAAACGAGUUUAUUGGCUGAUGAGAGGAAUUGAUUCUAGGUUAUCACUAUAACUGAAAUUGAAAUAAUACACUCAAUUAAUAUGUCAAAUAAAACAAUGGAAUUGGGCCGUGUUUGUAAUUGAUA